GAGGCCCGGCUUGGGAGC
rnacentral:misc_RNA from 1 species